rnacentral:ncRNA from 1 species
ACAGUACAAACUGAGCAGGCGAUGAACCUUUUUUAUAAGAGGUCAUGGGGCCGGGCCACCCAACGAGUGGCAGCAGAUUGCAUAAUGCGCACAUCUGUGGGACAGUA